AAACAGCCCAUAGAGAGUGUUCCUUGUUUUGUGUGGAAAUUUACAGCUGCUAAGACUUGUAACCUUGACGCAGCAAAGGGAUAUAAGGUGGAGGACUGCCCUCUUCCUGUGUCAGUUUCACUCUGCAGGAACUCAGUGUUGCUGUAUGAUGGUCUGACUGUCUGAAAAGCUUUCUUUUUAAUUAUACCUGAGAAUUAGUCUGUCUCCUAUGCUGAUGAGAGUUGAUUUAAAUUUUGUCACGGCAAUUUGGUGUCAGAACGUGGGAUUCCUUGGAUGUGUCUUCUGGACCUGUGAGCAGAGGGUGACUGGCCAAUCCUGAACAAUAGAAGUUCAGCCCUAACCCCGAUUAGAUUUGAGGGAGAAAGGGACCAAACGCCGAGGCCCGGAGGAGACACCACUGGAAUCAGGAAAGAACCUGAGUGGCAACAGAACUCUAGGGUGCAAGCCGCGAAAAUGGACCCUGACCUCGACUGCUCUCCGCCAAGAAGACCAACAGCACCGUGGUCAGAUCCAGAACGUAGACAAGAAACAGAGGAAGACCCAGAAAUCAUUCCUGAAAACCGCAACGAAGAAAUUGAAGAGGAAAUAGUGCGCAGAGCACCCCCGACAAAGAAAAGACAAACAAGACAAACAGCGAAAAAAGAAAAUGGAUGGUCUUUAGACCGUGGACUAUAGCGGACAUGAAGGAAGUGAUGGCUCACUUGCCGAGCCCUGAUGAAGCAGGUGAUAACUUUUCUACUGAAUUAGUCACCUUCUGCCAAUAAUUAAGCCCUACCAUGUCAAACUGAGAAGGCUGUUGGCAGUGAAACUAGGGGCUACGAGCUGGCAUGAAGUGAGUGGAGAGCUGCAGAAAGAAGACUGUCGGAGAGGACACUGUGAAUGGAAAAGUGGCUAUCUGCUGUUUUAGCACGAAGAAGGCGAAGAAGGAAAGAGUUAAAGCCAAGGCCAACAUAGAGUGGCAGCUGGCGUUAGUGCAAGCAGUGUUGAAGCCAGGGGGCUAUUCUGCGCAGCGAAAUCAGCAAUCGAAAGGGGGAAGAUGGAAAAGAGGAGGAGGAAGAUAUCCGAAUGAAACUGAAACUCUGAAAGAUGGGGUUGUCGGAUCUGCAAGACUGAUGAACAUACGACAUUCAAGUGUACCAGAUGCAGACUGUACAAAAAGGAUGGUCAUUGGGCGAAGGAUUGCUCAGAGAACCGGCGAAAUCAACAAGCAGACUGAAGCGAGGGAGACGGAGAGCAGAGAGGAGGGGUCCAGGGCGAGCAACCAACGGUCACAAGUCAGGAAAGUGAAAAUUUUCUAACCACAAACACACACACAUACACUGAUGUACUUUCUGCUAUCUGCAAUGAAGAAAAAAGCUUGCUUUCCUUUGUGUAUGUCUGAUUCUGUUAAUGCACAUCCCGAUAAAUGUGCGAUAAUGUAUAAGAGUGAAGCCUUUAUGAAAAUGCCUAAAUAUCCUAUGCUAGUAGAGGGGAUAUUGAUUGAGUUUUUAGCUGAUAUAUAUAUUUCAGGGGAGAGAUUUAUUGUGUAAACUAAAUUUGACACUGAUUGCA